ACGCUCGACACCUACGGGAGCAGCAGUGGGGAAUAUUGCACAAUGGGGGAAACCCUGAUGCAGCGAUGCCGCGUGAAGGAAGAAGUAUCUCGGUAUGUAAACUUCUAUCAGCAGGGAAGAAAAUGACGGUACCUGACUAAGAAGCCCCGGCUAACUACGUGCCAGCAGCCACGGUAAUCUGAGCGGGCUGGCAAGGC
rnacentral:rRNA from 1 species